rnacentral:scRNA from 1 species
UCAUCUGGGAUGGUGGAUGGCGUGGUGGGCUGCAGGACAGCAGGAAAGGGGUGUGGGCCGAAAGGAACAGUGGCCCCGUGUGUGUGUGUGUGUGUGUGUGUGUGUGUGUGUGUGUGUGUGUGUGUGGGCAGGGGUGAGAGUGUGUCAAAUGCCCUCUCUGUGUCUAGGCCUUGAUUCUACUUGAGCAGGUAAAUUAUGUGGCCCCUGGCCCACAGGGCCAUCCUGAAAUGAAAACCCAAA